rnacentral:rRNA from 1 species
CCUACGGGAGGCAGCAGUGAGGAAUAUUGGUCAAUGGGCGAGAGCCUGAACCAGCCAAGUCGCGUGAGGGAAGACGGUCCUAUGGAUUGUAAACCUCUUUUGUCUGGGAGCAAAAAGGCCUCGUGAGGCCACAAGUGAGAGUACCUGAAGAAAAAGCAUCGGCUAACUCCGUGCCAGCAGCCGCGGUAAUACGGAGGUUGCGAGCGUUAUUCGGAUUUAUUGGGUUUAAAGGCGGCGUAGGCGGACUGGAAAGCCAGCGGUAAAAUCGAGAGGCCAAACCUCUUUUCGCCGUUGAAACUGUCAGUCUUGAGUGGGCGAGAAGUAUGCGGAAUGCGUGGUGUAGCGGUGAAAUGCAUAGAUAUCACGAAGAACUCCGAUUGCGAAGGCAGCAUACCGGAGCCCGACUGACGCUGAGGCACGAAAGCGUGGGUAUCGAACAGGAUUAGAUACCCCAGUAGUC